ensembl:lncRNA
CUUCUUUGUCUACUUUUGUUAGUCCAUGUAGGUUUCCCAGAGACUAUGGGUUGAGGAGGAAUUGGAAGUUUGUUGGCUUAGACCUGGCGUCAUUCCAUCAGUGAUAAACUUCCCGGCUCAUCUUGGAAGAGUACGUGCCGGAAAGACCACGACCAAGUAGCCUUGAGAUCUUAGGCAGCAUCUCCCUGAGGUCCCUCUCUAUCUCCCCACACAUCCACCAACCACUGGAACACAUCUCCAAAGUUCUGCCGGGCCAGCUCAGCUUCCCCUCAGAAGAAGUGCUGCCACCUGCCAAAUGAAGGAGCCUUUUGAGAGGCAGCUGGCAUCGUGAUUGGACUGUACUUUGGUCUGUUCCAAUCCAGCUUCAGCUCCAGAGACGGCAGGCGGGACGAGUCAACGGAGGCCGGAUGGACGAAGACCAAAGAACUACAGACUCUUAACAAGCUGCUCAAACUCUUGGUACAGGACCUCACCACACGGGUCAAGAAGGUUUCUCUCUCAU